AGAGGUGUUCCCUCUGGUGCAUGGCGUGGGUUUCAAACCUUUUG
rnacentral:tRNA from 1 species